UACGGAGGGGACUAGCGUUGUUCGGAAUUACUGGGCGUAAAGCGCACGUAGGCGGAUUUGUUAGUCAGGGGUGAAAUCCCGAGGCUCAACCUCGGAACUGCCUUUGAUACUGCAAAUCUCGAGUCCGGAAGAGGUGAGUGGAAUUCCUAGUGUAGAGGUGAAAUUCGUAGAUAUUAGGAAGAACACCAGUGGCGAAGGCAGCUCACUGGUCCGGUACUGACGCUGAGGUGCGAAAGCGUGGGGAGCAAACAGG
rnacentral:rRNA from 1 species